rnacentral:rRNA from 1 species
CCCUUAGAUGUUCUGGGCCGCACGCGUGCUACACUGAGUGGAUCAGCGGGUCAGGUUGCGCGAAAGUGUUUCCUAAUCUUUAAAUCCGCUCGUGAUGGGGAUUGACGGUUGCAAUUUUCCGUCAUGAACGAGGAAUACCUUGUAAGCGCGGGUCAUCAUCCCGCGCUGAAUACGUCCCUGCCCUUUGUACACACCGCCCGUCGCUCCUACCGAUUGAGUGGUCCGGUGAAUAAUUCGGACUGCAGCACUGCUUGGUCUCCAGGCUUUGCAGCGGAAAGUUUAGUGAACCUUAUCACUUAGAGGAAGGAGAAGUCGUAACA